GUCAGGUGGCGCAGAUUUCAAAGAUGGUUGCGCUCAAGCCGUGAAAAGUUGCAGCGCAGAGACUACGCUCAUGCUAGUUCCUUGUUAAACGGUUACGCUUGAGUGUUGAUGUUGAUCGAUGAUUGAAAGUAUUUACACAAUUCUGCACAACACAAGUCGCUCACUCUUCUAAAAUGGGUGAUCAAGAGAGAGACGUUGACUGUACAAACGCAGCCCGUGGCGUAUGGCUCGUAAAGGUGCCGAAAUACAUCGCUUCUAGAUGGAGCAAAGCGCCACCCAUGUCGGAGGCUGGGCGACUGAGAAUCGCGAAGGGAGUGAAUGGCAAAUCGGAUAUACGGUUUACACUGAGUGAUGAAUGUGUCAACAUGAAAGACCCAGCUGACAAGUCAGCCAUACCAAAAGAACACCGUUUUGUCAUCUCCAACAUAGCCAACCAGAACUUAGCCGUUUUCUCACAAAACAAAGUGGUAGAAGACGGUACAGAGCAUUCCUCUCGUAAGGUUUACCUGGAAGGCCAUGUUGUGCAGAAAGGUGAAUGCAGGCCCCUGGGAGAUGACCGCUACAUGCAACUGAAGAGGCAAACUAUCCUGAAGGCUAGCCAACCUGUGCGUCAAGUGAAGCAGCUAGAUCGAAUUGUGCAGAACUACAAGCCAGUGGCCGACCACAAGCACAAUCUGGAAUUUGAACAGAAGAAGAAAGCAGAGGGAAAGAAGGCACGUGAGGACAAAGAUAAAGUGCUGGACAUGCUUUUCUCAGCCUUUGAGAAACACCAGUAUUACAAUAUCAAGGACUUGGAGAAAAUCACACGGCAGCCAGUGCCCUACCUGAAGGAGAUCCUUAAGGAAAUCUGCAAUUACAAUGCCAAGAAUCCUCACAAGAAUAUGUGGGAGCUCAAGCCAGAGUACCGUCAUUACAAGGAUCAGGAGGCCAAGCAGUGAUUGCUUGAAACACAGGGCUACAAGAGGCUCGUGGUCACUUUGAUAGUUUGGAACACCUGGCAUUCUUGUACCACAUACUGGAAGCAUGGUACACAAAUGUUCUUGCAUUGUGUCCCCAUCAGCACGUGACUUUUGUAGCUGAGGAACAAAUCUCCUUUGAAAAUGAACAACAUAGCCACUGAGUGACCACAACGGGGGAAUUGAAUGAGAUUUAUACACAACGGACAAGUGCAGACAUUGUGAUGCUAGAGCCACCCUGGAGCAUAUCCUAUGGGAAUGUAUGGCUGUGAUACAGGACAACAGUGAUGCAGCCUCAAACAGCGACAGCCUCUGUGCGUGCUGGGAGUUUGCGUUGCUCACUUCAGACUUGCAGCACCAACUCUGAGCCGUCCAGCAAGCCGAGGAAGCCGCCAAGGGCCAACAACCCUUGGCCGAAACCUAGGUGGGGUCCAGGCCCACCCUACCAAAUUGCAGGGCACUCAAUAAAGUUACUUGAAUGAAUGAACCUGCAACGUUUUCCUAGCAAUCAGCCCUUUCACAUUACUCUAAGGCUCACAAAUCCUUCAGCACCUUUUUUCACAACAUCACAUCUUUUUUUAGCAACCAUUUGUUUAGAAUUUAUAGAAAGCUACAUACACAAGCACAAUUCUUUCUAGAAAACUUUUGUUUGCAAUCGCGCUUUAAGGUUGUUGAAAAGCUAUUCAUAUUUUUUUAUCACAACUAGUGAUCUUAUGCUUAAACCGAUCCUCUGUCUCUAAUAGCUAUGUUGCACUAGUCAGUACAGGAGUGCUAUAUAAUUAUACCAAAAUAAAUAUUCCUUCUGUAAAUGUGUGUCUGUGCUUGAAAAUCAGACAUUAUUCAAUACUAAUUCAAAAACAUUUAUAUUCUAGUUUAUCAAAAAGUGGUGCUACAAGUUUUUCUACACAAUAAGAAAAUGUCCGUCAUCUGUAGAUGACACUACCACAAACAUGCAUGCCAAAUACUAUUUCGGUGCAUGCGGAGGGAGCCUAUAUGCUGCAGGAUGUUCUACAGCAAAUGGGGAAGUGGCGGCUGCUAAUGCAUCCUACUGAUUCUGUUGCCACUUCUUUUUUGCUCUCUGUGAGAUGCAAGCUUGAAGUGUAACUAUAGGUGCACCGUGGAAAAAAGUAAGGAAACACCAAUAGGCAAGACAUCUUUAUAUCCCCAUUAUUAUUGGGCCCUUUUCAAAAAUAUUUGCAGCAGUAGUAUAUUCACUGAAACACAUCGUACUUACUAGUGUCUUCCGUU